rfam:Canis lupus familiaris chromosome X, whole genome shotgun sequence.
AGGAGCAACAGCCCCAGUGGCGGGGCCAGCUCUGGAAACCUGGAUUCAGCUCCGGCAGGAACUCCGGAGGUCUCCGUCUGCAGGGCCUGGAGGCUCCGGGGCGGG